GACGAACGCUGGCGGCGUGCUUAACACAUGCAAGUCGAACGGAAAGGCCUGCUUUCCCUUGUGGAUUGCGGGUACUCGAGUGGCGAACGGGUGAGUAACACGUGAGUGAUCUGCCCCCAACUUGGGUAUAAGCCUGGGAAACUGGGUCUAAUUCCCGAUAGGACUGCAGGGUGGUGCCUGUGGUGGAAAACGAUUUUCUAGUGGUUGGGGAUGAGCUCGCGGCCUAUCAGCUUGUUGGUGGGGUAAUGGCCUACCAAGGCGGCGACGGGUAGCCGGCCUGAGAGGGUGGACGGCCACAUUGGGACUGAGAUAUGGCCCAGACUCCUACGGGAGGCAGCAGUGGGGAAUAGUGCACAAUGGGCGGAAGCCUGAUGCAGCGACGCCGCGUGGGGGAUGACGGCCUUCGGGUUGUAAACUCCUUUCGACCGCGAGGAAGCCACCUGGUUGGAAGGGUGGUGACGGUAGUGGUAGAAGAAGCACCGGCUAACUACGUG
rnacentral:rRNA from 1 species